rnacentral:rRNA from 1 species
GACGAACCGUGCGAACGUUGUUCGGAUUCACUGGGCUUAAAGGGCGCGUAGGCGGGCUCGCCAGUCUGUGGUGAAAGCCCCCGGCUCAACCGGGGAAGUGCCGUGGAUACUGCCGAGUCUUGAGGAGGGUAGGGGCAUCUGGAACGCUGGGUGGAGCGGUGAAAUGCGUUGAUAUCCAGCGGAACUCCGGUGGCGAAGGCGAGGUGCUGGACCCUUUCUGACGCUGAGGCGCGAAAGCCAGGGGAGCAAACGGG